UGGGGAAUUUUGGACAAUGGGCGAAAGCCUGAUCCAGCAAUGCCGCGUGUGUGAAGAAGGCCUUCGGGUUGUAAAGCACUUUUGUCCGGAAAGAAAUCCUUGGCUCUAAUACAGUCGGGGGAUGACGGUACCGGAAGAAUAAGCACCGGCUAACUACGUGCCAGCAGCCGCGGUAAUACGUAGGGUGCAAGCGUUAAUCGGAAUUACUGGGCGUAAAGCGUGCGCAGGCGGUUUGCUAAGACCGAUGUGAAAUCCCCGGGCUCAACCUGGGAACUGCAUUGGUGACUGGCAGGCUAGAGUAUGGCAGAGGGGGGUAGAAUUCCACGUGUAGCAGUGAAAUGCGUAGAGAUGUGGAGGAAUACCGAUGGCGAAGGCAGCCCCCUGGGCCAAUACUGACGCUCAUGCACGAAAGCGUGGGGAGCAAACAGGAUUAGAUACCCUGGUAGUCCACGCCCUAAACGAUGUCAACUAGUUGUUGGGGAUUCAUUUCCUUAGUAACGUAGCUAACGCGUGAAGUUGACCGCCUGGGAAGUACGAUCGCAAGAUUAAAACUUAAAUGAAAUUGACGGGGUCAUAGCUGUUUCCU
rnacentral:rRNA from 1 species